ACCUGUCAAUGUGAUGUGAUACAGCGUGUCUCUUUAAAAGCCGAUUCCUUUAGCGCAGGUCUGUUCUGUCCUCUGGGACUACUAGUUGCUAGGCUAAUUGUAUUGUACUACAGUGCUAGUAGCCAGUUAGGGAUGGCCUUGGAGGUUGAGUGUGUGGUGUGCACGACUACUCGAGAUGAGGAGAGGAAGCACAGAGUCACAGACGGAGCGAAUGUUUUAUUUAUUCGAAUUUCGACAUGCAACAUUUUGUAAGUAGUUUAACUCUACAAUUGGACUCGGUGCAAAUGCUGAAAAUGUAUCGAUGGUAACCAGUAGCUAGCUUGCUGGAGGCAGGGAAAGAAAGCUCCCGGUGGUGCUCUGCUCCUAGCUAAACGAAUAAUAAAGGACUUCGAAAGGAAAUGGUCAAGAUGGCAGCUGCAUUCGGAAUGUGAAGGUGCUAGUUUUACAUUUUGAUGUAACCCGCAUAUUGGAAAUGGUAAAGAAACACGGGCAAACGGAACGCUGUUGAUUGAGUAGCUAACGUUAUCUAUUCAUUGAGGACGCUCUACACGCCAUUCCCAAGAUAAGGGAUUCAAUAUAAUUCCACCACCUAACGUAUGUAUUAACACAUUUUAUAUAUAUUUUUUUCUUUUUACAAAGUACAAACAGACGCUGCAGUACUAGCUCAAUGCACAUUAAAAAAGGGGCUUUUAAGUCGCGCCAUCAAUUUUGCUGCGAUCAGCAGAGAGAAGACAGUCGACUGGACGCACGUGGGGUUCUAUCGCUGGAGGUGUGGAAUGUGGGUACUAGUUAUUGUACUCAUUGUUUUAAUAGUCUGGUAAUGUCAUGCUGAUAUUAUGCAUGAUAACCAAACAAAUACUAUUUUAUUAAUGGAAUGCAAUUUUGUUAAUCAGUGUAUACCGAAUACAAGCGACAAACCAAGGAGAGGAAUAUGGCUGAAGUACCGCACAAUGAUAUUGACAUCGAUCCGGACUUCGAGCCCCAGAAACGACCGAGGUCUUGUACCUGGCCUCUGCCUCGACCGGAGUCCAACACAGGGAAGCCCGAGUCGAACGAUGACAUCAUCCCGGAGGACGAGGAGGAUUAUGUCACAGCGCCUAGCAUCUCUAGCUCCACUCCUGUCAACAAUUUGAAUGGUGGCAUAACUAUACCUCAGAACACAAAUAACUUAUCUGAACACCAAACCCUCCCUGUCACCACUAAGAAAGAAGUACUAACCCCAACUUCAAAAGAGGAGGCCGGGUCUUCACAGACGCAUGCUAUCACAGCUCUCAAUGGCCUGGCCUCCCAACCUAGGAAGUCCUCAACUCGGAGGAAUGCCUGGGGGAACUACUCCUAUGCGGACCUCAUCACCCAGGCCAUAGAGAGCUCCCCGGACCAGAGGCUGACGUUAGCCCAGAUCUAUGAUUGGAUGGUGAGAUCUGUCACUUACUUCAAGGACAAAGGGGACAGCAACAGCUCUGCAGGCUGGAAGAACUCCAUCCGACACAACCUCUCUCUCCACAGUCGUUUUAUGCGGGUGCAUAAUGAAGGAACAGGGAAGAGUUCCUGGUGGAUGGUCAACCCAGAGGUUGGGAAAAGUGGCAAAGCUCCACGACGACGGGCCGUAUCCAUGGACAACGGCAACAAGCUGAUCAAAGGUGCUCGAGGCCGAGCCGCGACGAAGGCAUCUCUAGGCCUACAAACCUUCCAAGAUGGCAGCUCCGAGAGUUUAUCUUUGUCCUCUAGCCUGUCCAAGUGGACAGGAAGUCCCACGUCUCGCAGCAGCGACGAACUGGACACCUGGACAGACUUCAGGUCACGUACCAACUCCAACGCCAGCACGGUCAGUGGCCGCCUCUCCCCUAUCCUGGCCAACCCGGAACUUGACGAGGCUCUGGAUGACGACUCGAUCGCACCCCUCUACUCCAGUCCCAGCAGAUUGUCCCCCUCCACCGCCAGCCUCGGUCUGGGCGACAUGGCCCUUACUAUGAACCUCAACGACGGGCUCCCUGACCACCUGAUGGGCGACUUUCUUGACAACAUCAGCCUUACGGCGUCCCAGCAGCCCCAGGGGCAGGAAGUGGAGAGCAGAACCAAUCAGACGGGGAGCUCAGUGUUUACCUACACGUGUCCAGGAAGCAGCAGUAGUCUGGUCGUCCCGUCCUCCGGCAGCUUCGGCCCUCCCGGGACCAUCUUCCUGCUCAGCCCCCCACCCUCUUCAGUGGCCUCCCUACGUCAGUCCCCCAUGCAGACCAUCCAGGAGAACCACCAAGCUUCCUUCUCCUGCCUGUCCUCUCGUUUCAACAACCACCACACUCUGCAAGACCAAAUGAACCUGGAGACCCAUGGCAGCCAUGUCAGCGACGUCAUGCUCACACACUCUGACCCGAUGAUGUCACAAGCCAGCGCCUCUGUCACUUUGUCCCAGAAUUCCCAGCGGAAUGCUAUGCUUCUCCGCAAGGACCCUAUGUCAUCAUCAAUCCGGGACUGUGCUGCAGGUCCAAAUUCACAGACUCUCCCAGUGCCCGGUUGGUGGGCUCAGGUUGGCUUGUCAACACCUGACAAUGAAGUCUUGUGCUCAAGCAAUGAAUUGGCCCAGCAGGCCAACCAGAUUCUCCAGCACCUCCCAUCAUCCAGUAGAAAUUAUUGUAUGCAGCUUGGUGGCUCUGGUACCAACGGCAGAUCUGGAUGCCUUUUGCAGUUGAAUGCUCAGGACCACUUCCCAAUACCUUCAGACCCUGAUCUGGAGGUGUUCAAUGGCAGGCUGGACUGUGACAUGCGUAAUGAGCUGAUGGACGCUGACUGCCUUGGUUUAUGUUUUGACCGCUCUCCCCUGCGCUCUGGUACUCCGACCACUAAUAACUUAAGUACAGCAGGGGGAUUCUCCAACUCCAAACAAACCUCUUCUUCCCCAAGCUGGGUUCCAAGCUAGCUGAGGUACUGUCCUACCCAGUGCCCGGUUUCAGAACAGUGUCAGGGUUGGGGACAGUUUGAAUUUCAGUCAAGGUAAUUCAAUGGAAUUUGUGUACUUGCUGAAUUGACAUGGAAUUGAACCCAACCGUGAUCAGUUUAGAGAGUGAUCAUUGCAGGCAUUACAUAUCUAGAACUGCAAGUGUCUGGAAGACAAGAUGGAGAUGAGCUUCGUGGUAUCCUAAACCAUGUUCCAAAACAAGGAGGCUUGAGUCUGAUUUCAGGGCUUGUAUUCACAAACCGUCUGCCAGUAGAAGGGAUGAUCUAGGACCAGGUCCUCACUCUUAUUCAUAGUGAUCUGAAAGGCAAAAACGGAUCUUAGAUUAGCACUCGUGCUUUGUGAAUACAGGCCCUGGACUGUAGAGCUGUGUCUAGUCUGUUGGGACAGUGACAAUUAGUUAUUGUUUUUUUUUUAAAAUAAAAAAACCAAACCUUUUUAACACCAGUGUUAUCAGUGGGAUUUUAGAUGUAAAUGUGAAAGACACUGCUUUUAAGUCUCAGGGAUUUGUCCUUAUGUGGUGGAUUGUAAACACUUUUUACCCUGCUUUCCCAUGUCAUAUUUCUGAACCAUACAUAAACCAACACAAUAUUUUUACCAAACCAUUUGUCAGUCCAGUGGUUGACUGCCUGUUUACAUCUAACAAGCUCUAGCGAAUGUGACCUUGUAGAUACUCCAUUCAGCUUUUUGUGCUUUUACUGCUGUGUUCUCAGCAGAAAAGAGGACAAACUAAACACUUGUUUUUGAAAAGCCUUGCAUCAGUGCACAAUUCCAUACACCUAUAUAAUAAUGAGUAAUAUCAAGUCCAAGGUAAUCCACAUUGUGUUAAUUGUACUGUAUGUAACUUGUGUUUAAUUUUCUUCAGUGAUUUUAGUAUUACAUUUAAGUCAUUUAGCAGACGCUCUUCCUGUGAUAAACCCUCAGAAGGAUGACAAGUUUCUGCUUGUAAAGGGGGGGGACCUGAUCCUAGAUCAGCACUCCAAAUCUGACACUUUUACAGCUUACAAAAAUCAUAUUUUUUGAACAUUUACACUGCAUAAACAUUUACUCAUGCUAAAUAUUGACAUAUAGGCUAGGCCUAAAAUAUGAAUAUGGAAAAUAACGUUCAAUGUAGAAUCAGAAGCAAUAAACUCUCAAUGUCCUGAAUUAUUGCCCCCAAAAAAUAUGAAGUCAAUAUUCUGAGUACAUUUCCCACAUGGAGUAGGAUUACGUGAAGCGACGUUAACUAACUUCAUAGCAACACCGAAGGAAGUCUUGGUAAUUAAUUUUGAUGGAUUUAAACUCCUAAUAGAACAUAUUUAGAAUACAGUGAUUGGUUUUGGGAUGGUUAACCAUUUGACAGGCUGUUUUUAUGCUGAAACAAGUUGUUUGUAUCAUUAAAGGAGCAAUCUGCAGUUGCUAUGUCUGUUUAUAGACUUUUUAAAAUUAAUGAUGCAUACCCCUUGAUUCUUGAACGUAACAUGCUUAUACCUCAACUGUCGUAACCCAUUAAACCCAACAUGUAAACAAACACUAUAUAGCCUCAACAUGGUUGAAACUAUAUCUAGUUUACCAAAUCAGCGGCGGGAGGGUCCGCUUUGUUAUUGUUCAAACUGCAGAUUGUCUCUUUAAAGUAAUUAACACUACUUCACGUACUGGAGAUCAACACCCACUGCCUACCUGUUCUUAUGUACCUCACUGGUCCUCCAUCAAGUGCUUCUACAUUGCUUGCUGUUUGAGUUGUGACAUCGGCUGAUGUAAAAAGAGCUUUAUAAAUACAAUUGAUUGAUUGACCACAACCAUAUUUGAUUUCGGGUUGGCUUUUCCUCAUGUAUUUUUCCACUAUGCGUUAUGUUAUGUCUGUCUGAGAAAGGGUGCAUGUCAAUAAAAGCUUUGUGAAGCACUAUAA